GCCCUCUUUUGCAGGGUUGUGGACUUCCUGCUGAAGGCCAUCAUGCGCACCAUGUGGUUCGCCGGCGGCUUCCACCGGGUGGCCGUGAAGGGGCGGCAGGCGCUGCCCACCGAGGCGGCCAUCCUCACGCUCGCGCCUCACUCGUCCUACUUCGACGCCAUCCCGGUGACCAUGACGAUGUCCUCCAUCGUGAUGAAGGCAGAGAGCAGAGACAUCCCGAUCUGGGGAACUCUGAUCCGGUAUAUACGGCCUGUGUUCGUGUCCCGGUCAGACCAGGAUUCUCGCAGGAAAACAGUAGAAGAAAUCAAGAGACGGGCGCAGUCAAACGGAAAGUGGCCACAGAUAAUGAUUUUUCCAGAAGGAACUUGUACAAACAGGACCUGCCUAAUUACCUUCAAACCUGGUAUGUAGUUUUCU
rnacentral:sRNA from 1 species